UACGUAGGGUGCGAGCGUUGUCCGGAAUUAUUGGGCGUAAAGGAGCUACGUAGGCGCCUGUCGCGUCGGAUGUGAAAGCCCGGGGCUUAACCCCGGGGUCUGCCAGUUCGAUACGGGCAGGCGUAGAGUGUGGUAGGGGGAGGAUCGGAAUUCCUGGUGUAGCGGUGAAAUGCGCAGAUAUCAGGAGGAACACCGGUGGCGAAGGCGGAUCUCUGGGCCAUUACUGACGCUGAGGAGCGAAAGCGUGGGGAGCGAACAGG
rnacentral:rRNA from 1 species